UACGUAGGGGGCGAGCGUUGUCCGGAUUUACUGGGCGUAAAGCGCGCGCAGGCGGACUGAUCAGUCUGGGGUGAAAUCUCACGGCUCAACUGUGAGCGGUCCCUGGAUACUGUCAGUCUUGAGAUGUCUAGAGGAGAGCGGAAUUCCCGGUGUAGUGGUGGAAUGCGUAGAUAUCGGGAAGAACACCAGUGGCGAAAGCGGCUCUCUGGGGACCAUCUGACGCUGAGGCGCGAAAGCGUGGGGAGCGAACCGG
rnacentral:rRNA from 1 species